rnacentral:tRNA from 1 species
GGGCCCGUAGCUUAGCCUGGUCAAAGCGCCCGGCUGAUAGCCCUGUGUUAGAGACCGGGAGAACGUGGGUUCGAAUCCCACCGGGCCCA